AAUCAAGAUUGGAGCAAGGGAUUGAAGUACAAGAUGAAGGAUUUCCUCUCUUUUCUCUCCUCAAAAUUUCAGCCAACAAGGUGAAAAAUGAAGAAACAUUUGGUCAAAAUGGAUGUUUAGUAAAGUUAAGAAAAGUUAGUCAAAGUCCCCAUCCAAUGGUUUCAUGACACUUGUCCCUCUCAUUAAUGUCAUGCCUAACUUUUUUUUGUCUUUCUCACACCUAUCCACUUGGUACCUCUAAAUAUCUCAUAACACCCGAUAAAUUAAACCCAGUAUCCAAAACUUAACCUAACUGGCCGAAAUUUUCUGAAUUUUUCGCACUAGCGGGUCCCACGUCCGAUAUACGCUCUUAAUUUCUGAAAAACUAACCGAUACUAGAAAAAUCAUUUAAAAACUAUAUUUACUCAUAAAAUUGAUCUAUAAAAAUUUUCUAAUAAAGAAAAUGCAGAAAACGUGCAAUUAAGAAAAGUACGGGUCCUCACACUC
rnacentral:lncRNA from 1 species